GCAUCGAUGAAGAACGCAGCGAAAUGCGAUACUUGGUGUGAAUUGCAGAAUCCCGUGAACCAUCGAGUCUUUGAACGCAAGUUGCGCCCAAAGCCAUUAGGCCGAGGGCACGCCUGCCUGGGUGUCACAC
rnacentral:rRNA from 1 species